rnacentral:rRNA from 1 species
UCCACACCGUAAACGAUGAAUGCCAGUCGUCGGGCAGUAUACUGUUCGGUGACACACCUAACGGAUUAAGCAUUCCGCCUGGGGAGUACGGUCGCAAGAUUAAAACUCAAAGGAAUUGACGGGGGCCCGCACAAGCGGUGGAGCAUGUGGUUUUAAUUCGAAGCAACGCGCAGAACCUUACCAACCCUUGACAUGCCUGGACAAUCCGAGAGAUCGGACUUCCUUCGGUACCGACGUG